rnacentral:lncRNA from 1 species
UCUAGUUGCAUCUGUAAGUCAGUAUCAUGUAAAAAAUCAAAAUUAAAAAUGUCACGAGCUUUCCUUUUUCUGUGCUGGUCUCUACUGGGUACAGCCUAAAAUGGCUUCUAGGAAAGGGAGUUUCCCACCCCUCGCAUGGAGAGGCUGGAAAGAUCUCUUGAAGUUACGUUUUUGCUUUGCUUCAGCUGUCUGCUGCUACUAACCUUGCAGUGAGAGGAAAUCAGGCAGAGAGAAAGAGAGGGCCAGAUGAGAGAGCUGGUGUGGCUUCAGGCUCUUUAAAGAACUUUUGGCGCAGACUCUUUGAAAUGACAAAAGAGCAUCUUAAAAAGAAGUUCUGUUGCUAAGUGACAUUAAUAGCCGUAUACAGAGCUACAGUAAGAGAGGGCAGACACCCUUCCCUCCAAGUUCAAGUAAGAAACGCUGACAAUGAGCACAGGUAGGAGCAGAGCUUCGCGGGGAUGCAGCAUCCAGGCUGCGAGAGGGUUUCCGGGAGCCUUUAGCGGAGGGAGCCUGGGGUCAGACCAUGUAGACAGUGGUCAUCUUUGCCUGAUCAGCAUCCAGGCAGACGCCAAGUAAUAUACUACCAUUGGAGCGACUGCAUUUGAGUUAAUAAGGGGAAGUUCUUACCGCACAGUCACAACAACUACGUGAAAAUGAGAUGAGCAGUCCUGUGCAUGCAAGGUAGACCCGGGGCAGCCCUCGCUGGAGCGAAGUUCCCUCUGCGCGCUGACCUUCGACUGCAUUAAUGACCUGAUGCAUCUGGAGCCCCGACUCGCUUCUUUCGGCAGAUAUUCACUGCAAAAUUCCUGCACGCUCUAAAACCUGGUUUUAAAUGUUUUUAUAUGCUGAAUACCUAGUCCCUGUUCGUGAAGAUAAACCAGAUUUCCCAAGAGGUCUCAGGCUGUCUGCGUCUUUCCAGAUCAACCUCCCAGCCUUGCUUCUGGGAACGUUAGCAGCUUUGGAAAUCAAAAUGCAGCUUCUGGGGUGCUUCCAACCUUCCCCAAAUGGGCUAUGCACUGUAAGUAAGUCAGGUUAUUCUCCUGGAGAAAGAAAAAGGAGGAAGUGGAGCACGCCUAGACUGCAGUCUGCUUAUACAGGAGUGUGGGAGGAAGAGGCUGCUGAUUGCAAGCUGGAUCUGUUGGUUCUCUUCGUAGCAACACUUCCACCCUGUUUUUCCAGGUGUUCGAACACCCUGGGAGUUUGCAUUCACUGUAGUGUGGACAGCAAUCCUCCGGCUGACUCAUCACUGCAGACAAGGACCAAGGCUGCUCUCUGUGGCAGCUAG